UACGUAGGCAGCAAGCGUUGUUCGGAAUUACUGGGCGUAAAGAGUGUGUAGGUGGUGUCGUAAGUUUGGUGUGAAAUCUCCCGGCUUAACUGGGAGGGUGCGCCGAAGACUGCGAUGCUGGAGUAUGGGAGAGGAAAGCGGAAUUCCUGGUGUAGCGGUGAAAUGCGUAGAUAUCAGGAGGAACACCUGCGGUGUAGACGGCUUUCUGGACCAUUACUGACACUGAGACACGAAAGCGUGGGUAGCAAAC
rnacentral:rRNA from 1 species